UUGCGCCUGCGUGCUCGCCGUCGCUCGCUGUGCCGCCUUCACCGCCACUGCCAGGGUCCCUGUUGGGAGUCCCAGCUUCCGCAGCCGCGUCUCACAGGUGCACGCAGCACGCCCCCCGCCGCUGCCGCGCCCUCCGAGCAUCAGGCCGGCCAUGGAGAGCAGGACGGGCUGGCGUCAGGAUUGGUUCAGGAAUCGGAGAGUCAAGUAUAGGAAACUUCAGCGGGAAGCGAUGCUCAGCGAUGUAUCACCUGCUGUCCAGCACCAGGGGGACGUCCAGGACCAGAAGCACUCACAUGUUCCCCUUCUCUGAGGCCACACUGCCCAUGGGUUUUGCUCUUGGCACUAAAUCUGGGCCGUGUGUUGGUGCCUGUGCCAAUUUGAGGUUUUGUUCUCAGCACUUAUGUUAGCAAUAAAGUAAUGAAUUUUCAGUACA